rnacentral:snoRNA from 1 species
ACAAGGGUAUCCACCCGUGGCCUUGGCCGUGACCGUGAGUGAUAUUCAGCGCCCAGAGCCACCGGGGGUCUCAGCUCACUGUCCUCACGAUGUGAGGAGGUGAAACACAGGUUCUGACACGC